rnacentral:lncRNA from 1 species
ACUGUCCUUGUGGACCAGGAGGUCCCAUCUGAGGCAUAUUCAUUGGUAUCUGCUGAGGUGGAAGGGGCUGCUGAAACCCUUGAGGCAUCUGUGACAUUGGGCCUUGCCCUGGAAAAGGCUGGGGUCCGUGAAGAGAGCCUCCUGGAGGCGGCUGCACUUGCUCAGCUUGUUUUUGUGCAAGUCUCUCAAUCUUCAGUUGCUCCAGGAGUUGUGGGUUUGUGUACUGAAGUGCUGCCAUUUCCUGUUCAAUCUCUGCCUGCGUCUUCUUUUUCUCCUCCAGCUUAAUAUCUUCCUUCCUAUCAAUCAAUGGCUCAGGUGGGGGAGGCAAAGGAACUUUAUUCUGCAUCCAUGCCUGCUGAAACUGUGCUGGUAUUGGUUUUGCAUAGGGCACUUUUUUCUGUGGCACUUUCUUUUGGUCCUUUUGCAUUACUUCCUCCAUUCCCCAGUCUAGUCCUGGGAUGGUCAUUUCAAUGUCAUUGGACUCAUCUUUCCCCAUCUGCUCUUGCUCCAUGGCUAUUUUCAACUGUUCAGGUAUUCCCAUCCCAGGGAUAACUGCUAGGCUGUUGGGUUCCAAAUCAUCU